rnacentral:rRNA from 1 species
UACGGUAGGGGCAAGCGUUGUCCGGAUUUAUUGGCGUAAGCGCGUGUAGGCGGCAGAUAGGUCUGCUGUGAAACUCGAGGCUCAACCUCGAGCUGUCGCGGAACCAUCUGGACUAGAGUCCGGAAGAGGAGAGUGGAAUUCCGUGGUGUAAGCGGUGAAUGCGCAGAUAUCAGGAAGACACCUAUGGCGAAGCGACUCUCGUGGCGACUUACCUGACGCUGAGGAGC